ensembl:snoRNA
GUUGCAUGAAAAUCAUCCUGCACUUUGCCAGUGGCCACAAGUGAGAUUCAGUGCCCAGAGCUUCUAGGGGCCUCAGCUCACCAUGCACUGCCCUGUGUGUGGCAGUGAAACCCAGGCCCUGACAGGC